rnacentral:rRNA from 1 species
CAGUCGCCACGGUAAUACGUAGGGUGCAAGCGUUAAUCGGAAUUACUGGGCGUAAAGCGUGCGCAGGCGGUUUUGUAAGACAGAGGUGAAAUCCCCGGGCUCAACCUGGGAACUGCCUUUGUGACUGCAAGGCUAGAGUACGGCAGAGGGGGAUGGAAUUCCGCGUGUAGCAGUGAAAUGCGUAGAUAUGCGGAGGAACACCGAUGGCGAAGGCAAUCCCCUGGGCCUGUACUGACGCUCAUGCACGAAAGCGUGGGGAGCAAACAGGAUUAGAGACCCGCGUAGUCCCUGUCUCUUAUAC